rnacentral:rRNA from 1 species
UUGACGGGGCCCGCACAAGCGGUGGAGUAUGUGGUUAAUCGAUGCAACGCGAAGAACCUUACCUGGUCUUGACAUCCCGGAGACCCUUAGGAAACUAGGGGGUGCUUCCAUCUGGAAGAAUCUGGAGACAGGUGCUGCAUGGCUGUCGUCAGCUCGUGUCGUGAGAUGUUGGGUUAAGUCCCGCAACGAGCGCAACCCUUGCCUUUAGUUGCCAGCAGUUCGGCUGGGCACUCUAAAGGGACUGCCGGUGUUAAACCGGAGGAAGGUGGGGAUGACGUCAAGUCCUCAUGGCCUUUAUGACCAGGGCUACACACGUACUACAAUGGCCGAUACAAAGGGCAGCGACACUGCGAGGUGAAGCCAAUCCCGUAAAAUCGGUCUCAGUCCGGAUUGGAGUCUGCAACUCGACUCCAUGAAGUUGGAAUCGCUAGUAAUCGUGGAUCAGCAUGCCACGGUGAAUACGUUCCCGGGCCUU